UGUGAAUGCUUGAACUUAAAUAUAUGAUUGAAUCCUAGUACUAUCUAUGCUGUUGUAGAGUGUGGUUUGCUCUUUAGUGCUGAGAAAGUCCUCUUUUUAAUUAAAUUUGAAGAUUAUGAAAUUUAUUUUAUGUUCUUAGGAACAACAGUUGGUGCUUUCAAUGAUUUUUUUGUAUAUGGAUUGAAUGCCAAAUAGAAUACUGUGACUAGCCCUGAUUAGUCUGCAGAGGAUUCAGUGUUGACCCAAAUUUUUGGUAGUAAGGUUUGGCUAUUUGGUUGAAUGCCAAAUGAUUGUUUCUUUGUUUAAUGUUAUUUGUUUUUCUUUUUUGGAGGUAAUUUUCAUUUUGGUAUAAGCAGAAAAUUAACAGGAGUUUAGAUGUUUGUUAAUUUCAGUGGUUCCUAGUUUUUAUGGAAACGUGUAUUUGUUGUUUUAUGGAUUUGACAGACUACUUCAAAGCACUUUUCUGAGGCUUCACAUCUCUAACUGCACACUGCGUAUCCCUGCAAUUAUAUGAUUUAUUUGUAGCAAACACCCAAUCUUCUCUAUCCUCACCAUCAAUUUGCUCUUCACAAAGUUUAUAUUGAUUUUGUUCAAAGCUUUCUGACAUGUCAGUAGGCCACAUCCAAAGACCAUUAACUAUAAACUUAGACAAACUGUCAAAGCAGCAACUUGUGUCAUGCAUCACCCUAUUACCAUUUCUUUUUUCUUUUUCUUUUUUAAUUUUAAUUUCAUCGUUUGUGGUUGAGAGAGGCAGCAUUGGAAGCACAAGCAUGUCCAGGGAUGACUUAAACAAGCUUCCUUGCAAAACAUGUGGCAACCUCAAUCUCGAUCUGAAUUAGGGGAUGUCUCCUCCUUCACUUGGUAAUGGUUCCAAGGAGAAUGAGGGAUGCCUUCAGUUCCACUUUGA